rnacentral:lncRNA from 1 species
CUCGGGCGCCUAGAGAUCUGUUCCACUCACUCCCCUUGUUCUCUUGGCCCUUGCUCCCCCACACCCUGCUUUCCCCCUCCCUGGGGCUUGUAGGGUGGGGGAGGGAGGCAACAAUUGACAGUCGCCCAGGUACAGACUCCAGAGUCACACGAAUGGGGUGUGAGUCAAGUCAGACUGCCUGUGUUCAGAUUCCAGUGCUAUAUGACCCUGAGCAAGGCAUGUACCAUCCCUAAGCCUCAGUUUCCCCCACCUGUAAAAUGUGCACAGUAAGAGCGCCUAAAUUUGUGUUAAAGCCAUCUCAGCGGUGAUCCUGUUGCCUCAGCCUCGCAAGUAGCUGGGACCACAGGCAUGCACCACUUUGUGCAGCUAAUUUUUUUUUUUUUUUACUUUUGUAGAGAUGGAGUCUUGCCACCCUCAAAUUCUCAGGCCUUUGGCUUCGGACUGAGAAUUACACCGUUGGCUUCCCCAGUUCUGAGGCCUUCGGACUUGUUCUGAGCCACGCUCCCUGCAUCCCAGGGUCUCCAGCCUGCACACAGCCUCAGGACUUCUCCACCUCCAUAACUGAAUGAGCCAAUUGCCCAAUAAACCCCUUCUCCUAUCUCUCUCCACACAUAUCCUGUUGAUUCUGUCUCUUUGGAGAACUCUGAUUAAUAUGCUUCCUCUAUGAAACAAACAGGGCCGUUCCU